rnacentral:rRNA from 1 species
CCUACGGGUGGCUGCAGUCGAGAAUCAUUCACAAUGGGGGAAACCCUGAUGGUGCGACGCCGCGUGGGGGAAUGAAGGUCUUCGGAUUGUAAACCCCUGUCAUGUGGGAGCAAAUUACAACGAUAGUACCACAAUAGGAAGAGCCGGCUAACUCUGUGCCAGCAGCCGCGGUAAUACAGAGGUCUCAAGCGUUGUUCGGAAUCACUGGGCGUAAAGGGUGCGUAGGCUGUUUGGUAAGUCGUGUGUGAAAGGCGCGGGCUCAACCCGCGGACGGCGCAGGAUACUGCGAGACUAGAGUAAUGGAGGGGGAACCGGAAUUCGCGGUGUAGCAGUGAAAUGCGUAGAUAUCGAGAGGAACACUCGUGGCGAAGGCGGGUUACUGGACAGUAACUGACGCUGAGGCACGAAGGCCAGGGGAGCGAAAGGGAUUAGAUACCCUGGUAGUC